GUCCACUCUCCCUCCAGCUCACAUAAGCAGCAUUCAGAAACGAGGUCAGGACCAAAAUCCAAACAACCCAACUAAGACCAAAGUAGACGCUGGCACUAUGGCUCCUGCCCAGCCAGCCACACCUUCCCUGGCCUGAGGCAGGGGCCAGGAAUUGGGCUCAGUUGGGCCAAGGCCGGGAUGGGCCUGAGGGGCAAAUGCUGUGCCUGUGGCUGCUGGCCAGGUGACUACUCAGCAUCGGUCCCCGGUUCCCAGGCCUCCAGGCCCUCACUUCCCUUGCUGCUCCCCACCUUCUCACUCAGGUCUGGACUCUCCCACCACACUGGUCAUCAACCACUGCCUUUCCAGCCACCCCACCGCCUCCCCAUCCCGCUCCUCUGCCAGGAGGCCCUCCAUCCUCUCCAGCAGGGGGAGCCAGCUCCCCUCCUUGGUCAGCAGGAGUGACAGCUCCCGGUACAAAGCUGGGGCCAGCAGGCGACUGCUGGGCUAGGCAGAGGCCUCAGCGGCCAUGGCCAUCCCCAUCCAGCUGCUCUGCCUGAGGCUCCUGCCCCAGGCUGGCUGAGGCCUUGUCUCAAGCCUCCACCCCCUCGCCCCCUGCCCCCAGUGUCAUUCAACAGUUCCAUCCUGGCAAAAGGCCAUUUAAUUUGGUUUUGGGAAUGGGAAUAGAAAAGGAUCAACUCUCCAGGCUGAAGAAGGUAUGCUAGGAAACAGAUCCUCUUUCUUAGAUCUAACAGAGGAGAGAAGGACAUGAAUUACAGCUUUGGCCUGCUUGAUGGUGGGACAGGCAGGCAGAGGGAAAGCAGGCAGUCUCUAGCCCCCUACUCCGCUACCCCUGGCCCUGGCAUCCACCAGGCCUUCCCACACCCCAGGGAGGUGUGUGUGGCCUACAGAGAUCUCAGUUGCUGCUGAGAUUAGGUUAUAAAAGACACCAUGGCUUCCUCUGUGUUCUCUCGGUGGGGUCAAUGGCUCUGGGGAGAACCAGUCACCAUGAUCCGGGGACACUCAGCUGUUUAUAGAAAGGCCCACAGGAGGAGCUGAGGCCUCUGGCCAAUAACCAGUGAGGACCUGAGGCUGCCAACACCCCAAGGGAGCUCAGAUGCACUGAUGAUAGCUUGACUGCAACCACGUGGGAGACCCUGAGCCAACUUUACCCCACAAAGCCACUGUAAAUUCCUGACCCUCAAAAACUACAAGACGAGAGCAUGGGACUGGUACAAGGCAAGACAGCCCCAGGCAGAGGGACAGGAGCUGGGUCUUCGUGGGAGUAAGUCAGCUACCAACACUGACCAACUGAUUACGGCACUGGGCUCCCAUCACCCCCACACCUUGACGUCACCAUCCUCAGGCGGGGUAUGGUGGUUCACACCUGUAAUCCCAGCACUUUGGGAGGCUGAGGCGAGUGGAUCUCCUGAGCCCAGGAGUUUAAGACCAGCUUGGGCAACAUGGUGAAACCCCAUCUCUACAAAAAAUACAAAAAUUACCCAGGCGUAGUGGCCCAUGCUUGUAGUCUCAGCUACUUGGGAGGCUGAGGUAGGAGGAUCACCUGAGCCCAGGGAGGUUGAAGCUGCAGUGAGCCAUGAUCGCACUGCUGCACUCCAGCCUGGGCAACAGAGUGAGGAAAACAAACAGGCCAGGCUUGGUGGCUCAUUCCUGUAAUCCCAGCACUUUGGGAGGCUGAGGCAGGCGGAUCACCUGAGGUCAGGAGUUCAAGACCAGCUUGGCCAACAUGGGGAAACCCUGUCUCCACUAAAAAUAAAAAAUAAAAAUUAAAAAAAAAAAAAAAACCCAUACCAAGUCUCUGCUUAACGCCAAGCAGCAUUCCAAAUCCUGCAGUGCUAUUAUCUUCAUCUUAUCCAUUUUAUGCAGGAAACUGAGGCAGAAAGAAGAAAAGGGAUGGCCAAGGUCACAUGCUGGUAGAACCACUGCAGUUCGUUUUUUUUAGAUGGAGUCUAGCUCUGUCGCCCAGGCUGGAGUGCAGUGGCGUGAUGUCAGCUCAUUGCAACCUCUGCCUCCUGGGUUCAAGCGAUUCUCCUGCUUCAGCCUCCCGAGUAGGUGGGAUUACAG
rnacentral:lncRNA from 10 species